rnacentral:rRNA from 1 species
UACGAAGGGGGCUAGCGUUGCUCGGAAUCACUGGGCGUAAAGGGCGCGUAGGCGGCCACCGCAAGUCGACUGUGAAAUCUCCGGGCUUAACCCAGAAAGGUCAGCUGAUACUGCGGGGCUAGAGUGCAGAAGGGGCAACUGGAAUUCUCGGUGUAGCGGUGAAAUGCGUAGAUAUCGAGAGGAACACCUGCGGCGAAGGCGGGUUGCUGGGCUGACACUGACGCUGACAGCGCGAAAGCUAGGGGAGCGAACGGG